rnacentral:tRNA from 1 species
GCCCCUUUUUUUGGCCCGAGCCGAACACCGGCGAACACCGGCGCACGGUUGCUGAGUCGCCUGGCAAGCGAGCGGUCGUCAGUUCGAUCCUGACAGGGGGCU